CUGGCCGCGCAGACGGAAGGUGUUAUGGCUUCAUCGCGGGCAGACGUACAGCUGGGAAUGUGGGACGUGCCGGCUGAAGUGACCCUGCCGAGGUCGAAGGCCUGGGAGAGGAACGCUGCAUGGAAAGGAAGGUGUGGACAAGAAACUCUAGUUACUGUAUGUGUCUUUGGAGCGAAGACAAGAAAUAACAAAGGCCACUGUUGUGGCAUCAUCAUUUGUGGCUAAAGGUUCGGGAGUUUCUCAGCUUUCAACAACUGGCUUGAGGCACGUCGAAAGGCCAUUUCUCGCUGCCACUCCCCACCUGCAAAUUCACCUCUGAAUAACAUGCACAGCAGCUCACGUCAUCUUCUCCCCCCAGUGAGAGGGGGACGGGCUUGCAGAUGGCGUCCUCUCAGGGUCACGCAGACUCAGCGAUAGGAGAAGCAGUACCGGACCAGGAGUAUGCUGGUCUUGCCUCUCCCAAGGCUCCGGUCCGCUGACGCUGGGCCCGGCUCGGGUCUGUCCCCCUGAACCCGAUGGGGGGAGGACUGCCCCGUACUGCGGCGUGCACACAAAGAAUUCAUUGAAAGGCAAAAUGCGAGGGGAAGACAGUUUCUCAGGAAGAGGACAAUGGGCGUUCUCCUCCAUUUGGCUCACCCUUUCAUCCUCGGACCUCCACAAGAGACGCAAUUGUUUGGACACUGCGAUAUGGGGCAAAGCCUUUAGAAGACGCAUCAUUUUUAAUUAACUGUUGGUAAUGAUCUCAUUAUUGGGGCUGAGUGGGUUCCCCGGGCCCGAGCACCGGGCGCACAGGGGUGAGUCUGGGGUCAACGUUCUGAAGCCCCCCACACUAACCGACAGAAUAUGGAGGAAUUUGUCAUGCCGCCACGGUGCAUCAGCUCAGAGUCAAACUUGACCGCCUCGUCCAGAAUAGAGGGGAAUUAUCUUUUUGAUAUUGGUUAAACAAACAGUUUGGGGUUGCAUUCUCCACAGUGAACUUUUACGCAGGUGUUUUCUGGCUUUUAAAGCAGAGAGAGGAGUAAACAUACAGUAGGUUGUUAGACUGCUGAAAAGACAGAAGAAUACAGCAAAAAUAGGAUGACUAAAUGCAGUAUGAUCUUUUUUAAUACAUAUAUGUAAUUUAAGUUAAGGAAACUGAGGCUCUCAUGUAAUUCCUACCUGCAUCCUUACAGGCAUCUAGGCCUGUAUUUAUCAAUUGUCUCAGAGUAGAAAAUCACUCCUUUGUUCCUACUUUUAGGACUAAAAGUAUCAGCUUUUUCUUUUAGCAAAUUAGCUUAACUUAAAGGUUCGUACUAGUGCUUUGACAUGCUUUGAUGUUGAAAUAAAUGUAUUUAUUGUUCUCUUAGUCUGACUGAAUAUACCUGUAUUCCCCUUCUGUCUGAAACACUCCGGUAAAAAAAAAGGUCCACGUUGACUUCCUGUCACAUUACAAACUGGACAUAAACUGGGACACAUUCAGAAGGGUUACGUG